rnacentral:lncRNA from 1 species
UGGCUCUGCGUUAGUAACUUCCUUUUGAGCGUGCCAAUACUUUAUGGCGGUGUGCAACUGUUUGAUUGUGCAUUGUCUUAGACACUGUCGACCUCAGCUACCACCUAUCAUAUGACCCAUGUAUCAUGUUUAGGUUCUCUUAGACUUGUUAUGCCUUUGUUGUGAUGAUCGGAUGAAUUAUUCCUCUCUUUUGGAGAUGCCUAGGCUGCUAAACCUUGAUUCAAACUGCUGGAUUUGUCUUUGUGAUCAGUCGUCCACCUUGUAAGAUUGUCAACUCUGUUAAUAGGUCGAUGAAACUACUCCGCUUGUUCUGCUUUAUGAAUGAACACUCUUCUGCUGCAG